GUCUAUGGCCAUACCACCCUGAACGCACCGGAUCUCCUCUGAUCUUGGAAACUAAGCAGGGUCAGGACUGGUUAAUACUUGGGUGGGAGAUAAGGAUAAUCAGCAUAUUCAUCAUCU
ensembl:rRNA 5S_rRNA 5S ribosomal RNA